rnacentral:rRNA from 1 species
AUUGAACGCUGGCGGCAGGCCUAACACAUGCAAGUCGAGCGAGCGGCGGACGGGUGAGUAAUGUAUGGGGAUCUGCCUGAUAGAGGGGGAUAACUACUGGAAACGGUGGCUAAUACCGCAUACUAUCGGAUGAACCCAUAUGGGAUUAGCUAGUAGGUGGGGUAAAGGCUCACCUAGGCGACGAUCCCUAGCUGGUCUGAGAGGAUGAUCAGCCACACUGGAACUGAGACACGGCCCAGACUCCUACGGGAGGAAGCAGUGGGGAAUAUUGCACAAUGGGCGCAAGCCUGAUGCAGCCAUGCCGCGUGUAUGAAGAAGGCCUUAGGGUUGUAAAGUACUUUCAGCGGGGAGGCGUUACCCGCAGAAGAAGCACCGGCUAACUCCGUGCCAGCAGCCGCGGUAAUAC